AUUGAACGCUGGCGGCAUGCCUUACACAUGCAAGUCGAACGGCAGCAUAGUAGCUUGCUCCUGGAGGCGAGUGGCGAACGGGUGAGUAAUAUAUCGGAAGGUGCCCUAGAGUGGGGGAUAGCUAGUCGAAAGGCUAGCUAAUACCGCAUACGAUCUACGGACGAAAGUGGGGGAUCGCUAGACCUCAUGCUCCAGGAGCGGCCGAUAUCUGAUUUGCUAGUUGGUGGGGUAAAAGCUCACCAAGGCGACGGUCAGUAGCUGGUCUGAGAGGACGACCAGCCACACUGGGACUGCGACACGGCCCAGACUCCUACGGGAGGCAGCAGUGGGGAAUUUUGGACAAUGGGGGCAACCCUGAUCCAGCAAUGCCGCGUGAGUGAAGAAGGCCUUCGGGUUGUAAAGCUCUUUUGUCAGGGAAGAAACGGUUCUGGAUAAUACCUGGGACUAAUGACGGUACCUGAAGAAUAAGCACCGGCUAACUACGUGCCAGCCGCCGCCGUAA
rnacentral:rRNA from 1 species